CCUACGGGUGACAGCAGUAGGGAAUAUUGCUCAAUGGGGGAAACCCUGAAGCAGCAACGCCGCGUGGAGGAUGAAGGUUUUUGGAUUGUAAACUCCUUUUGUUAGAGAAGAUAAUGACGGUAUCUAACGAAUAAGCACCGGCUAACUCCGUGCCAGCAGCCGCGGUAAUACGGAGGGUGCAAGCGUUACUCGGAAUCACUGGGCGUAAAGGGCGUGUAGGCGGGAUAGCAAGUCAGAUGUGAAAUCCUAUGGCUUAACCAUAGAACUGCAUUUGAAACUGUUAUUCUAGAGUAUGGGAGAGGUAGGUGGAAUUCUUGGUGUAGGGGUAAAAUCCGUAGAGAUCAAGAGGAAUACUCAUUGCGAAGGCGACCUGCUAGAACAUAACUGACGCUGAUGCGCGAAAGCGUGGGGAGCAAACAGGAUUAGAUACCCGUGUAGUC
rnacentral:rRNA from 1 species